rnacentral:rRNA from 1 species
GACGAACGCUGGCGGCGUGCUUAACACAUGCAAGUCGAGCGGAAAGGCUCCUUCGGGGGUACUCGAGCGGCGAACGGGUGAGUAACACGUGAGUAAUCUGCCCUUCACUUGGGGAUAACCUCCGGAAACGGUGGCUAAUACCCGAUAUGACCAACCUACGCAUGUGGUGUUGGUGGAAAGUUUUUUCGGUGGGGGAUGUGCUCGGGGCCUAUCAGCUUGUUGGUGGGGUAAUGGCCUACCAAGGCUUCGACGGGUAGCCGGCCUGAGAGGGUGACCGGCCACACUGGGACUGAGACACGGUCCAGACUCCUACGGGAGGCAGCAGUGGGGAAUAUUGGACAAUGGGCGGAAGCCUGAUCCAGCAACGCCGCGUGAGGGAUGACGGCCUUCGGGUUGUAAACCUCUUUCAGCGGGGACGAAGCCUUUGGGUGACGGUACCCGCAGAAGAAGCACCGGCCAACUACGUGCCAGCCGCCGCCGUAACAC